GUUCUUGCUUCAGCAGCAUGUACUAAAGUUGGAAUGACACAGAAGACUAGCCUGGCCCCUGUGCAUGCAAAUCUGUGAAGCAGCCUAUAUUAUA
rnacentral:snRNA from 1 species